UUGAACGCUGGCGGCAUGCCUUACACAUGCCAGUCGCACGGUAACAGGUCUUCGGAUGCUGACGAGUGGCGAACGGGUGAGUAAUACAUCGGAACGUGCCCGAUCGUGGGGGAUAACGAGGCGAAAGCUUUGCUAAUACCGCAUAAGAUCUACGGAUGAAAGCAGGGGACCGCAAGGCCUUGCGCGAACGGAGCGGCCGAUGGCAGAUUAGGUAGUUGGUGGGAUAAAAGCUUACCAAGCCGACGAUCUGUAGCUGGUCUGAGAGGACGACCAGCCACACUGGGACUGAGACACGGCCCAGACUCCUACGGGAGGCAGCAGUGGGGAAUUUUGGACAAUGGGCGAAAGCCUGAUCCAGCCAUGCCGCGUGCAGGAUGAAGGCCUUCGGGUUGUAAACUGCUUUUGUACGGAACGAAAAGACUCUGGUUAAUACCUGGGGUCCAUGACGGUACCGUAAGAAUAAGCACCGGCUAACUACGUG
rnacentral:rRNA from 1 species